CAGCAAUAUGGCUUCUCUCCAGUAUCGAUUCCUGUGUGCCUUUGAAAACUGCAUUUGUCAGAAAAUUGUUUGGCACAUUCUGGACAAAAAUGAGGUUUUUCUCCUGUGUGGAUUUUUCUGUGCCACUGAAUUUCACUUCUCCUUGAGAACGACUUACCACAUUCUGGACAGCAAUGAGGUUUUUCUCCUGUGUGAAUUUGUCUGUGCCUCUGAAGAUAGCUUAUACAUGAGAACGAAUUACCACAUUCUGAACAGCAAUGAGGUUUUUCUCCUGUGUGGAGUAUUCUGUGCUUUUGAAGAUAG